rnacentral:rRNA from 1 species
UGGGGAAUAUUGGACAAUGGGCGAAAGCCUGAUCCAGCCAUGCCGCGUGUGUGAAGAAGGUCUUCGGAUUGUAAAGCACUUUAAGUUGGGAGGAAGGGCAGUAAGCGAAUACCUUGCUGUUUUGACGUUACCGACAGAAUAAGCACCGGCUAACUCUGUGCCAGCAGCCGCGGUAAUACAGAGGGUGCAAGCGUUAAUCGGAAUUACUGGGCGUAAAGCGCGCGUAGGUGGUUCGUUAAGUUGAAUGUGAAAGCCCCGGGCUCAACCUGGGAACGGCAUCCAAAACUGGCGAGCUAGAGUAGGGCAGAGGGUGGUGGAAUUUCCUGUGUAGCGGUGAAAUGCGUAGAUAUAGGAAGGAACACCAGUGGCGAAGGCGACCACCUGGGCUUAUACUGACACUGAGGUGCGAAAGCGUGGGGAGCAAACAGG